rnacentral:rRNA from 1 species
GGAGUUUGGGCCGUGUCUCAGUCCCAAUGUGGCCGUUCUACCUCUCAGUACGGCUACUGAUCGUCGCCUUGGUGGGCCGUUACCUCGCCAACUAGCUAAUCAGACGCGGGCCCAUCCUGUACCUAUGAAUAUUUGACCGGAACAUCAUGCGGUAUUCCGAUGUUAUGCGGUUUUAGCGGUCGUUUCCAACCGUUAUCCCCCUGUACAGGGCAGGUUACCCACGCGUUACUCACCCGUCCGCCACUAAGUUUAGAAUCACUAGGUUUCAUCUAAACUCCGUUCGACUUGCAUGUAUUAAGCACGCCGCCAGCGUUCAUC